rnacentral:rRNA from 1 species
GGCGGCAUGCUAACACAUGCAAGUCGAACGGUAACGCGAGGAGCUUGCUCCUUGGCGACGAGUGGCGGACGGGUGAGUAACGCUUAGGAAUCUGCCCAUGUAGUGGGGGACAACUCGGGGAAACUCGAGCUAAUACCGCAUACGCCCUACGGGGGAAAGCGGGGGAUCUUCGGACCUCGCGCUAUUGGAUGAGCCUAAGUCGGAUUAGCUUGUUGGUGAGGUAAAGGCUCACCAAGGCGACGAUCCGUAGCUGGUCUGAGAGGACGAUCAGCCACACUGGGACUGAGACACGGCCCAGACUCCUACGGGAGGCAGCAGUGGGGAAUAUUGGACAAUGGGGGCAACCCUGAUCCAGCAAUGCCGCGUGUGUGAAGAAGGCCUGCGGGUUGUAAAGCACUUUCAAUUGGGAAGAAAAGCAGUCGGUUAAUACCCGGCUGUCUUGACGUUACCUUUACAAGAAGCACCGGCUAACUCCGUGCCAGCAGCCGCGGUAAUACGGAGGGUGCGAGCGUUAAUCGGAAUUACUGGGCGUAAAGCGCGCGUAGGCGGCUCGGUCAGUCGGAUGUGAAAGCCCCGGGCUUAACCUGGGAACUGCAUUCGAUACUGCCGAGCUAGAGUAUGGGAGAGGGAAGCGGAAUUUCCGGUGUAGCGGUGAAAUGCGUAGAUAUCGGAAGGAACAUCAGUGGCGAAGGCGGCUUCCUGGACCAAUACUGACGCUCAGGUGCGAAAGCGUGGGUAGCGAACAGGAUUAGAUACCCUGGUAGUCCACGCCGUAAACGAUGACAACUAGAUGUUGGGAGGAUUUGCCUCUCGGUGUCGUAGUUAACGCGUUAAGUUGUCCGCCUGGGGAGUACGCCGGCAACGGUAAAACUCAAAGGAAUUGACGGGGACCCGCACAAGCGGUGGAGCAUGUGGUUUAUCCGAUGCAACGCGAAAAACCUUACCUGGCCU